rnacentral:rRNA from 1 species
GUUAUUUCUGAGCCAUGAUCAAACUCUGGUGAGUAACGCGUACACGACCUGCCCUUUACUGGGGGAUAGCCUUGGGAAACUGAGAUUAAUACCCCAUGGUAUUAUUAUGCUGCACGGUAUAAUAAUUAAAGCUGAGGCGGUAAAGGAUGGGUGUGCGUCUGAUUAGCUAGUUGGCAGGGUAACGGCCUACCAAGGCGAUGAUCAGUAGGGGGCGUGAGAGCGUGACCCCCCACACGGGUACUGAGACACGGACCCGACUCCUACGGGAGGCAGCAGUAAGGAAUAUUGGUCAAUGGAGGGAACUCUGAACCAGCCAUCCCGCGUGCAGGAUGAAGGGGCUCUGCCCUGUAAACUGCUUUUGAAUGGGACGAAAAAGCCUCACUUGUGAGGAACUGACGGUACCAUUAGAAUAAGCACCGGCUAACUCCGUGCCAGCAGCCGCGGUAAUACGGAGGGUGCAAGCGUUAUCC